UGAGUAACACGUGGGAACGUACCUUUCGGUUCGGAAUAAUACAGGGAAACUGUACUAAUACCGGAUACGCCCUUCGGGGGAAAGAUUUAUCGCCGAUAGAUCGGCCCGCGUCUGAUUAGCUAGUUGGUGAGGUAAUGGCUCACCAAGGCGACGAUCAGUAGCUGGUCUGAGAGGAUGAUCAGCCACACUGGGACUGAGACACGGCCCAGACUCCUACGGGAGGCAGCAGUGGGGAAUAUUGGACAAUGGGCGAAAGCCUGAUCCAGCCAUGCCGCGUGUGUGAUGAAGGCCUUAGGGUUGUAAAGCACUUUUGUCCGGGAAGAUAAUGACUGUACCGGAAGAAUAAGCCCCGGCUAACUUCGUGCCAGCAGCCGCGGUAAUACGAAGGGGGCUAGCGUUGCUCGGAAUCACUGGGCGUAAAGGGCGCGUAGGCGGACUUUUAAGUCGGGGGUGAAAGCCCAGGGCUCAAACCUGGAAUUGCCUUCGAUACUGAGAGUCUUGAGUUCGGAAGAGGUUGGUGGAACUGCGAGUGUAGAGGUGAAAUUCGUAGAUAUUCGCAAGAACACCAGUGGCGAAGGCGGCCAACUGGUCCGAUACUGACGCUGAGGCGCGAA
rnacentral:rRNA from 1 species